rnacentral:rRNA from 1 species
UACGUAGGGACCAAGCGUUGUUCGGAUUUACUGGGCGUAAAGGGCGCGUAGGCGGCGCGGUAAGUCACUUGUGAAAUCUCUGAGCUUAACUCAGAACGGCCAAGUGAUACUGCAGUGCUAGAGUGUGGAAGGGGCAAUCGGAAUUCUUGGUGUAGCGGUGAAAUGCGUAGAUAUCAGGAAGAACACCAAUGGCGAAGGCAGCUCUCUGGGACGGUACUGACGCUGAGACGCGAAAGCGUGGGGAGCGAACAGG